rnacentral:tRNA from 1 species
GCAUUGGAGGUUCAAUGGUAGAAUUCUUGCCUUCCAUGUGGGAGACCUGGGUUUGAUUCCCAGAUAAUGCA